CUGAUCUUUUCCUUCAGAGAAAUUUGAUCCGUGAAGCGACUGCGUUCCUUCUAGAUGUUCUGAAGCCAAAUUUACCUGAGCAUGCUUUUCUGCAAACUAAGGUUUUGGAGAUCAAUUUGGUAACCUUUCCUAAUGUGGCUGAUGCAAUCUUAGCAAAUGGGAUGUUCAGCCAUUA